CGGGGCUUCUGUCCUCCCAAGGCUUCUGCAGGUUCCAGGCCAGCCAAGCCAGAGCUGCGGAUCUGCUCAGCCUGCUCUCCCCACACACAGCAGCUGGAAAGCCACCGUGUGCCUGUUGCCCGCCAGGCACUGUGCCGAACGCCAGUCCCCCAAGCGAGUUGCAACAAGUUUAGGGGAGAAAUUCAGAGAAGGAGAGGGAAGCGUGUGCAAAGCUGGGGCCACAAAACACAUCCAGGAAAAUAUGAAUACAGACUUGUGACAAGAGCAGACCUCACCAGCACCCCGUGGGGCUCACAACGCCAAGAAGCCCACAUCCGCACGCAUGCAGACGAGAGAUUCUUAUAUCCACUUCCAUGGAACUCUCCCAGAAAAAAGAAUAACAAAGAAAUUGCCCUUCACAUUGCAUAGGACAGACUACCUUUGAUUUCAAGACUGGACAGGAACAGUCAUGCAUGUGAAAUCUUAAGUUAACAAGUCAAAUCUGGAAGUAUUUUGGGAAGGAAAAAAAUCAUGCUUAAGUAAACUUUACCACAGGAGGCCAAGGAUUUUAAAAAAAUCAAUAUAAUUCACAAGAAGAGAUUAGAGGAGGAAACAAGACAUUUCAUCAUCACAAUGUGCAUUAAAAAAGCAUUCAAAGAAAGUAAGCACAUUCAUGUUUUGAGCUCUUAACAAAUAGAAAUAGAAGGGAACUUCCUUCAAUGAGAAUGGGAGGCAAUGACAGCAGAUGAGAAAUGUCAACAAAAUUUUGGAAGCUGGACAACUGUAAUUGGCCACAAAAACUCAAUAGUUUUACACAGGUGGAGUAGAAGGAAGCUGAAAAAUGAAACACACCAAUUUGUAUGAAGUCCUAAUACUGAAAGGCUUAAAUAGUAGAGCAAGAGGUCUCUCUGAAGGCCAAAGUACAGGAGCAAGGGCCUACAAAAAGAAGACUGGUUGGAAAUCUAUAAACAACCCCCUCUCUCAAAGUCAACCUACCUCUCCCAAGCAGCCAGAUUACCAGAACUCCACAGAAAUAAGCCAUAGGGGAUUUUGGGAUCCAGAACAGGUUUGACUUAGGGAUGACGCUAUUAAAAAGAGAGAGCUAUGUUCUUACAGGUGAAACAUUUCCUCUCUUCCCCCACUGCUCCUGGAACGCUGACAGUUUAGCAUUUACUAAAAGGGAUGAGUCUCUACCUGAUUCCCCUAUUGCAAAUCCUGCCUCUACAAAAGGCCCAAUCACCUACUCACCCUCCUCAAACCUCUGACACAGAGCUUCCAAUCUGCUAGUU